AUUGCACGCAUACAUGUUGACCAUUAAGCGGGCAGAGGACGCUGACCCUGGGCCCUGCUGAGCCAGGUAGGGCCCCGUCAUGACAGAGGCUGUGAACCCAUGCUGUCACUGUGCCAAGUGCCGCCAGCCUACCUCCGUGUCAUGGAGCAGUUGGAGACACAGAGGUGCUGUAAGUGGUUGUGCAGAAAGGACCCUUUUCUGGGUGAGAAGCACAUCUCAGCACCGCUGCCUGAUCAGACUCAGGAAAGCGUGACCUGCUCUCUUCCCCCCUGCUGACUUGGGGACAGUCACAACCAGGAUGGACGUGGAGGAAGACGUGGCUACCCUACUUGCACAGGAGCAGGGGGCAUCAUUGCCCAGUGUGAGCAGGUACAGGUCGGGCUGCUCCCUCGAGAGAGGUGGGGCCUCGCCUCUCCCACUGUGCCCUGGUGGGAGGAUCCUGGGCUCCCUUAGGAAGCAGGGUGGGAGCUGGUUGCCCAUGCCUUUGUGCCCCCACAGCCCUUCACCUCAGC
ensembl:lncRNA LINC00661 long intergenic non-protein coding RNA 661